rnacentral:rRNA from 1 species
GAGUUUGAUCAUGGCUCAGAACGUACGCUGGCGGCACGCCUAACACAUGCAAGUCGAACGAAGUAGCAAUACUUAGUGGCAGACGGGUGAGUAACAUGUGGGUAUCUACCCUUUGGCCUGGAAUAACACGAGGAAACUUGUGCUAAUACCGGAUAAGUCUUUACGGAGAAAGCUUUAUGCACCAUUGGAUGAGCCCGCACUUGAUUAGUUUGUUGGUAGGGUAAUGGCCUACCAAGACUAUGAUCAAUAGCUGAUUUGAGAGGAUGAUCAGCCACAUUGGGACUGAGACACGGCCCAAACUCCUACGGGAGGCAGCAGUGGGGAAUCUUGCACAAUGGAGGAAACUCUGAUGCAGCGAUGCCGCGUGAGUGAAGAAGGCCUUUGGGUUGUAAAG